UCCUACGGGAGGCAGCAGUGGGGAAUAUUGGUCAAUGGACGAGAGUCUGAACCAGCCAAGUAGCGUGAAGGAUGACUGCCCUUUGGGUUGUAAACUUCUUUUAUAUGGGAAUAACAGAGCCUACGUGUAGGUUUUUGCAUGUACCUUAUGAAUAAGCAUCGGCUAACUCCGUGCCAGCAGCCGCGGUAAUACGGAGGAUGCGAGCGUUAUCCGGAUUUAUUGGGUUUAAAGGGAGCGUAGGUGGGCGAUUAAGUCAGUUGUGAAAGUUUGGGGCUCAACCUUAAAAUUGCAGUUGAUACUGAUUGUCUUGAGUGCGUUAAAGGUGGGCGGAAUUCGUGGUGUAGCGGUGAAAUGCUUAGAUAUCACGAAGAACUCCGAUUGCGAAGGCAGCUCACCGGGCCGUAACUGACACUGAUGCUCGAAAGUGUGGGUAUCAAACAGGAUUAGAUACCCUGGUAGUCC
rnacentral:rRNA from 1 species